CAGAAACCAGGAGGAAGAUGCUCAGAACAUGUGAGUAACUUGGGGAACUUCAGUCCCCUUGGAAAGAAGCUCUUUAAAUACUGCUGGAAACUCUUCUGGCCCCAGGCAUUUUGGACUGGGACCCAGAUGGAAACUCCCUCAGAUUCUUGACCCUCCAGCCUUCCUACAAGUGUUUACAGAGCCAGAAUCUUGCCAUGCAGUGAUUUAUGCUCCACAGCCUGGCACAGGGCUUGUUCCUGUGCCUCACCCAUCUCCAGCCACGGGGCAGCUGCAUCUGCAGGAAGAAGGGGAUCACAGGAGAGCAAUUUGCUCUUUUAUCCCCCAAACAGCCAGACAGGGGACGAAGUUCUGAGCAGACCAAAUGCAGCAGCUCAGGGAUAACGUGGCACUGCCUCCACACAGUGUUCCUGGCCAAAGGGUGAGUUCCUGGAAAGCUCUCAGCAGAUCUGGCUUUUCAGCAUUAUUGUCCUUUCAUCCGGUGUUUAAAUAUGGUUUAAAGCAAAGCCCUGUCCACGUGAAGGGCACAGGUCUGAGGGCAGUGGGGCUGCACACACAGGUCCAAGGUGGCAGCAUUUGGCUGGAUGUGGGGAGGAAGUGGAAGCACCCAAAAUACAUAAACUGGUGGAGGCUUUCCAGCCUUAUAAAGCUUUGGUAUGUAUCACAUUUCCUUAUUAACAUAAGCAAAUUGCUUCCCAACUAUGAAUGGUUCAAUAAUUCCCUUGUCCAUGCAAUGUGCCUGGACAACUUUUUUGGUCUCUGGGCUUUGGCUGAGGAAUAAUUGAAGGAUCUGUGAGCCCAAAGUGCUGUUCCCCCACCCCUCUCCCCUUUCCUUGGAUAUUCACAGGCAGGAGGAGGAAACUCUUUGCGUUGUUGAGAACCUGCCACUCCUCUCACUCCUCUGGAUGCUGCCAGGAGAGAGAGAACAGAGCAGGAGUCAGCCAAGUGCUCCAGGGCUGACCCUCUGUGUCCAGUGAAACCCCGAGAGCAGAGCCUGGGGAAGGUGAUGCCAGCAGUGUUAUUCCCUGGGGGAUGUGCAUCCCUUCCUGAAGGGGAUCUUGGGCCUUGCUGUGGGAAAAGCAACCUGCAGAGAAGAGAGGGGGUGAGAGUGCUCCCGAGGGGGUGAGGGUGCCCCUCAUCUGCAUUCCACGGGCUCCUUUCAGGUGCUGAUUGGCUGCACUGCGGGCAGUGCCUGACUCAGCCAAGGGCUGGGAACCUCCGGGCUGUGGGAAAACUGGGAAGGGAGUGGGAUGGGACAUGAGCACGGGCUUUGUACCAACCUGGGUGAGGCGGAGACACAGACUCUGAGAACUGGAUGCUGCUGCUGCUGCUGCCCCAAGAAACCUGGGCAAAGAGAGAGGAAGGAAAGGACACAGGGGAGAGCAAGCAACGUGGGAGAAGCACAACCCCAGGCUGGUUUAAAGCCCUCGAGCCAGCCCCGUGCUGGUCUGAUCUUUCUGCUGCAUUUCUGACUCCACAGAGGUUUGCUUUGAAAACUGACGUGUGUUCAAACGAAUGCCCUUGAAACAAACGUGUGUUCAUUUCCAGGACCGUGAAUUCCACAGUGGAAGGAUCCCAAAGAAUUCCUAGGGGUGAAUAUUACUGAGAAUGAGUAAUUAACUGAUGCUGGUGUCUCCAUGGCUGGGCAUCAGAGUGGGUUGCUGUGCUCGGUGCUGAUGUGGUUGGAGAGCCAGCUGGCACUGCUCCCCGCUCCAACACAGCUCUGUGCUCUGUGAAAAUGGACAGCCUCGUUUUUUAAGGGAUAUUGGAAGCUGAAGGGGACAGAUCACCCAUUUCUAGGACCUGCUGGAAGCGAGAAAUGCACCCCAAAAGCAACAGGAGUUUUGCUGCUUGUUUGGGACCAGGAUUUCACUCUGCAAAUACAAAUACUGCUGUCGUUUGUUUUUGUUUUGUUUUGUUUUGUUUUCUCUCAGUUUUAACUCAUACAAGCUUCCACUUCAUUUCCUUUGUUCCACAUGCUCUUGAGUCAGCAGCUCAUUUCCCUGGCAACAACUUCCCAGCACACCCCGUGCAUUUAAUUCAUGGGACAGCGGCUGUUCUGGGCUGGGAGUGCCUGCAGGACUGACCACCCCUCUCCUCUCUGGUGACAUGUGCAACCAGGCAGACCUCUGGGCUUUUCCUCUCCAGGGCUGCACACACCUUGUGCAGCUCACUGAGGUGACCCCCUGCUCUGCCACCGCUCACUCUUUCCUGUGUGGGCUCCGCAGGUGAUGUGAUGUGAUGUGAUGAUGUGAUGUGCUGUGCUGUGUAGUGUAAACCGGCGGUGGGAAGUGAAAACCGGCUCAGCUCAGCCCUUGUGAUGCUGCCGGGGCUGCAGGGGAGGAGUGACCCAGCAUUUCCAGAGCCCGGCAGUUCUGUGCGCUGCUCCCCGGCCCCCCGUGCCCGUGCCCGAGCAGCUCUCUGUGCGAUCGGCUGCAGCGAGGCACAGCCACCGAGAUCUGAAAGCCUUCUGGAGCCGGGGUGUCACGAACCAGGAAGAAAUCAUGAUUUACCAGCCUCUCUGUGCAAAUCCCUGGAGUGGCUGGAGCUAAAGGCUGGCAGAGUGAGUGAGAGAGAGUGUGAGUUCACACAGAACUCCAUCCCCUCCUCUGGAAGGUGAGCCUUUCAUCCCAGGCUGAGUGAUGCUUCUGGAGCACCAGCCCUGCUCUCUCCCUGCACAGAUUCUCACCCCUUUAGAUCACUGCCUGAAUGUUUUUUUCCUUGUUACACUCAGGCUUUGGUAGCCAUGUGGGCCCAGAGACUACAGUCUUGGCAAAACAAAAAAAGGAAAAUAAACAGAGAAGAGACAAAGCAAACAACAAAAUAUUUUUACUCACUGCUGAACCAGUUGCUGCCUGUCGUGCUCUUCUCUGCUGCAGUAACUCCUUCACUGUAAUCUUUACUCUGACACCUUGGUACACCUUGGGCUUUCCUGAAAGAGUUUGGGGAAAAACACUUUGCAGGAAGGGAGAGCAAACAGCAAAUCCAACAUGAUUUCAGUGUAGAGUUACCGUGAUUAACUGGUCACUGUUUAGUCCCUUGCAAUCACAGUUUAAAGCCCUUUAGAAGGCCUGUUAUUCAAGCUUGUGACAAGCAGACACUUAUGGAAAAGUUGGAGUUGAUAAUAUUUAGUAACCACACAUGUUUUAUUCUUCUCUAUCUCUUUCUUCCCCCUGCCCUCCCUCCAGCUUUCCUAAUACCGAGCUCCAUCUGCUGCUGCUGUUGAAUUUAUUUAAAUUCCUAACAUAUUUGCCUCUCUCAGGACCUGAAAAUAAAUGUGGGAAGCACUUCAUCUGGCAGAGGAAGACCAGGAAUAAAACAAUGGAAAUAUGUGGGUGGUUAUGCAGAGGGCUGAACAAAACACAAAUAAACUGACUGCUUUCAUGAAUCA